rnacentral:rRNA from 1 species
AUGAGAAUAACACAUUGUGGGUCGACAACUUCCCCGCGCACGCAAACGAGGAAGACGUCAUGGCGGCCAUCACACCAUACGAGGCGCUCGACUACGUCGCCACACGCGCUGGCUCCGGCAGCUACGUGUUCAUCCUUUUUUGCUCUGUCGCCGAGUCUCGAGCCACCCUCGAGGCGCUCCAUGGGUCCAAGGUCAAGAGUGCAUUCAUCUGGGUCGAGUACACCCGGCCGUUUAUUUAGGCGGUGUAGGAGGAGGCCUCCAACAGUUCUGAUAUAUGUAAUUAUGCGAGCGGCGACACAUGGGAUCAGCAGAGACGGGGUGGUCUAG